AUCGCGAACCCUCUGAGGAUAGGAAGGAAGCAAGCGUGAG
rnacentral:SRP_RNA from 15 species